GAUGAACGCUGGCGGCGUGCCUAAUACAUGCAAGUCGAGCGAACAGACGAGGAGCUUGCUCCUCUGACGUUAGCGGCGGACGGGUGAGUAACACGUGGAUAACCUACCUAUAAGACUUGGAUAACUUCGGGAAACCGGAGCUAAUACCGGAUAAUAUAUUGAACCGCAUGGUUCAAUAGUGAAAGACGGUUUUGCUGUCACUUAUAGCUGGAUCCGCGCGGCAUUAGUUAGUUGGUAAGGGAACGGCUUACCAAGGCAACGAUGCGUAGCUGACCUGAGAGGAUGAGCAGCCACACUGGAACGGAGACACGGUCCAGACUCCGACGGGAGGCAGCAGUGGGGAAUAUUGGACAAGGGGCGCAAGCCUGAGGGAGCAAUGCCGCGUGGGUGAAGAAGGUCUUCGGGUUGUAAAGCCCUUUUGUUGGGAAAGAAAAGAAGCAGGUGAAUAUCCCGCUGUUUUGACGGUACCAAAAGAAAAAGCACCGGCUAACUUCGUG
rnacentral:rRNA from 1 species